rnacentral:rRNA from 1 species
GGUAUCCCUGUAGGAAGUUGCUAUCGAUCAAGGACGAACGUUGAGGGAUCGAAGACGAUCAGAUGCCGUCGCAGUU